UACAGCUCUUUCAGUUCUCCAAGUACUGUAAAGAUGCUCAUCCCAUUUGCUUUCUGAAGAAGCUGCAACUUAGACCCAAUGUUCAGUUUAUGCAGUUGUUAUACUCCCAAGGAAUACAGAGCACCGCAAGAAAUGAAAGGCUCUUGCUUUUUCCUGAUGGUGCUAGGACAAAAAAAUCACUCCAUGACACAUUCUUUAUCUGCAUAUCAAUCACCUUGGAAGGGACUUCUGGAGAUGUCUGAUCUGGUACCUGACUCCAAGCAGCUUCAACCGUGAAGUCAGAUUCUACUCCAGAGUUGAAUGAGGUUGGUCAGGGCCUGGGCCAGUCAAAAUCUCGGAUGCAUAUUCCAGUCUCUCUAGACAACCCAAUGGCUUUCUACCUCAUCAGCAACCAGAGUCCACAAGUGUAUGGGGAUACUGCAUCUCCGAUGCCCGAGUUUAAGAGUGCCUGAACUGCAGCAACUUCAAAAGAGCUAAUUUUCACUGGUUAUGACAUGAAAUAGGAGGAGAAAUAGUUAAAAAGUAAAUGGAAAAGACUCAAACUGUUUCAAGACUGAUAGAGUACCACAAAUAGCUUAAUUUUUACUCAGGAAAAGAAUCUUGGACAAAGAGGAGAAGAAAGAAGAAACUCUUAGUGGUAAUCUCAAGAAAAUACUGAAAUUCAGAAGAAAACUGAGAGAGAAGAGAGUUAGAGGAAAAAAGAAGAAAGUGCCAGGCCUAAGUGUUCAGUAGAGAGGGAGAGAGGCAAUGGAAACCUUUUGCAAUGAACUGCCACUUCAGGCCUGGAGGAAAUGCCACCAUUGAUGAGAAGGUGUUUGACAAUCAAUGUGCACUGCGCAGUUCUCACUGACUGUUCACAACCCCACCAAAGAUCAAGACCGGUGAUGUGUUGUUUAGCAGAUACCCUGCCUGGAACAAGUUAUUCUCAUGUGUUCCCUGAUACAUUUUUCCAGAUUCUUAUCUCCAUCAAAAACAAAUGCUAUUCCAAUGUGGUGAAAACUCUGGCAGACUAUCUGCCAUCUCUGAACAGCAUUGGUGGGCCAUGUAGGCAUUGGGCAGUUGCUUUGGGAUGCAUCUACACAAAAUUAGUAUCCUGAGCCAUCUCUACUUAGAGUAUGUUGGUUAAUGUUGUGCAACAGCCUCAGAGCUUGAGAAGCACCUCCUUUUGGGUGAAACAAAACUGGAAGAUGCACACUCCAAGAGUUUGCCUUCUGCACUUCAGCCAUCAAAGAACACUCAGUCCACAGGAGUCUGCCCAAGGCUACUCUACCUAUUCCUGUUGAGACUGGGACUACUUACUGUACAAGAUCUGUGGAGACCAGAGAAAAGGGCACACCUGUAUUUGACACUGCAGUAGGGUUUGUCCCUUGGGCCAAACUGUCCUUCCCAUCCUUCUGCCAGUGAGUGGAAGAAGGAACCCUGCCUUUCAUUAGGAAGCCAUGUGUGAGUGAGUGAAUGGAUCUAAGAGUGAAGAGUGCCACCAUCAGGACGACUGGCCAAAUGGAAGCAGUUUUGUGAAGGAUUCUUUCUACAGACCUCUAAUUUGCAUUGUGUACAAGCUAAACUUCCUAACAUAGAACUGGAUAGCAACCAAAAGUCACACGUUGGAAUACUGAGAAAUCUUUGGACCUCCUUUCUUACAGGACUACCAUCAAGAAAAAUAAAAUACACACCUUUUUUCUUUUCCUCAUCUGUUCCAUUAACUUCUAAAUAGGUUAAGGCAGCUGAGUGAUAUGGAUAACUGCAUCCAUACAAAACAUCUUUUCUGAACACUUCCUUUGCUACCAAACUUCAGGUUGUCACAGAUAAAAGUUGUGGACCUCAAAGUUACAAUCACCUGAGUAAACAACAGAAAUUCAUUUAACUUUGUUGUCUCUCUUGUUGUGGUAUGUUGUUAAUAAACUAAGAAAAGAAACAAGCAAGGCUAUUUUUCAAGUGUGACACUGUUUUUCUACUUCAGAAAGCAUCUGUAAAGAAUUUCAG